UACGGAGGAUGCAAGCGUUAUCCGGAUUUAUUGGGUUUAAAGGGUGCGCAGGCGGACUAAUAAGUCAGUGGUGAAAUUUACAUGCUUAACAUGUAUCGUGCCAUUGAUACUGUGAGACUAGUAUGCAAAUGACGUAGCUGGAAUGUGUUAUGUAGCGGUGAAAUGCAUAGAUAUAACACAGAACACCGAUCGUGAAGACAGGUUACGAAUUUGUGAUAGACGCUCAUGCACGAAAGCGUGGGGAU
rnacentral:rRNA from 1 species